CGUCACACAAUGAUUGAAUGUUCUUGACUAAAUUAAAAAUAGGUAUCUCAACAUGUAUCAAUGAAAAUAUAUUGGAUUGAAAGUUCCAAAAUUACUGUAGCAAACGAAAAAGAUCUAUCUUUCAAAAUAUUGGUACCAAACAGCGUCUUUGAACAAAACACCUUUUGCCCAAUUAGUAAGGUUAUUUUGUAUUAAUCAAGCAAAAGAUUGAAUGUUGUUGAAUUAUCAAGAAUUAGAAAAUGAGUAUCUGAAUCUCCAAAAUGGA
rnacentral:lncRNA from 1 species